AAAAUCCGUACGGCAAUCCGAAGAUGUGAUGCGUACCGAAUUAAGAGUAGGGAAGAGUGUGAGCCAUGCGUCAAGAAAAGCCGCUAUUGUUUGUAUCGCGCCCGUACCGUAAACCGGCACAGGUGGAUGAGGAGAGAAUCCUAAGGCCGACGGGAGAAGCAUUGUUAAGGAACUCGGCAAAAUGACUCCGUAACUUCGGGAGAAGGAGUGCCACUGAGAGGUGGCCGCAGAGAAUUGGCCCAAGCAACUGUUUAGCAAAAACACAGGUCUAUGCAAAACCGAAAGGUGAAGUAUAUGGGCUGACGCCUGCCCGGUGCUGGAAGGUUAAGGGGAGAGGUUAGCGCAAGCGAAGCUUUGAACUUAAGCCCCAGUAAACGGCGGCCGUAACAAUAACGGUCCUAAGGUAGCGAAAUUCCUUGUCGGGUAAGUUCCGACCCGCACGAAAGGCGUAAUGAUUUGGGCACUGUCUCAACAAUGCACCCGGUGAAAUUGAAAUACCAGUGAAGAUGCUGGUUACCUGCGCCAGGACGGAAAGACCCCAUGGAGCUUUACUCCAGCUUGAUACUGGGAUUCGGUAUUGCAUGUACAGGAUAGGUGGGAGGCUAAGAAGCGGUGACGCCAGUUGCCGUGGAGCUGCUGUUGGGAUACCACCCUUGCAGUACUGGGUUUCUAACCAGCGGCCUUAAACAGGUCGGGGGACAAUGUCAGGUGGGGAGUUUGACUGGGGCGGUCGCCUCCGAAAGGGUAUCGGAGGCGCCCAAAGGUUCCCUCAGAAUGGUCGGAAACCAUUCGAAGAGUGCAAAGGCAGAAGGGAGCUUGACUGCGACACCGACGGGUGGAGCAGGUACGAAAGUAGGACUUAGUGAUCCGGUGGUAUAAAGUGGGAUUGCCAUCGCUCAACGGAUAAAAGCUACCCUGGGAUAACAGGCUUAUCACUCCCAAGAGUUCACAUCGACGGAGUGGUUUGGCACCUCGAUGUCGGCUCAUCGCAUCCUGGGGCUGAAGUAGGUCCCAAGGGUUGGGCUGUUCGCCCAUUAAAGCGGUACGCGAGCUGGGUUCAGAACGUCGUGAGACAGUUCGGUCCCUAUCCGGCGUGGGCGUAGGAUAUUUGAGAGGAGCUGUCCUUAGUACGAGAGGACCGGGAUGGACUGGCCGCUGGUUGAUCUGUUGUUCCGCCAGGAGCAUAGCAGAGUAGCCAAGCCGGGACGGGAUAAACGCUGAAGGCAUCUAAGCGUGAAGCCCCCCUCAAGAUGAGAUAUCCCAACGAAAGUUGUAAGACCCCUUGAAGACGACGAGGUAGAUAGGACAGAGGUGGAAGUGUGGUAACACAUGGAGCUGACUGUUACUAAUAGGUCGAGGGCAUAACC
rnacentral:rRNA from 1 species